rnacentral:rRNA from 1 species
GACGAACGCUGGCGGCGUGCUUAACACAUGCAAGUCGAACGGUAAAGCGCCUUCCUUUUUGGUGGGUGUGGAUGAGCGGCGAACGGGUGAGUAACACGUGAGUAACCUGCCCCCUUCUACUGGAUAACCGCAUGAAAGGGUGGCCAAUACCGGAUAUGCUGGGUCUGGCGCAUGAUGGGCCUGUUAAAGAUCUCGGUUCGGGGGGGGGAGGGCUCGCGGCCUCUCAGCUUGUUGGUGGGGUGAUGGCGUCCCAAGGCGGUGCCGGGUAGCCGGCCUGAGGGGGUGGACGGACGCACUGGGACUGGGCCACGACCGCCACUGCUACGGGCGGCAGCGGUGUUGACUAUAGAACUGUGUGCGCUAGCCUGGUACGGCGACGCCGCGUGAGGGAUGGAGCCCUUCGGGUUAUGAACCUCUUUCGCCAGUGGCGCAGGCCUGCCUCGUUUGUGGGUGGGUUGACGGUAGCUGGAGAAGAAGCGCCGGCUAUCUACGUG